rnacentral:rRNA from 1 species
UACGUAGGAGACGAGCGUUGUCCGGAGUUACUGGGCGUAAAGGGUGCGCAGGUGGCGGCGCGCGUGGGGGGUGAAAUCGCCCGGCUUAACUGGGCGGGGGCCUUCCAGACGGCGUGGCUUGAGCAGCGGAGGGGGACGUGGAAUUCCUGGUGUAGCGGUGAAAUGCGUAGAUAUCAGGAGGAACACCUGUGGUGUAGACAGCUUACUGGACCACUCCUGACGCUGAGACACGAAAGCGUGGGUAGCAAACAGG